rfam:Myotis davidii contig135818, whole genome shotgun sequence.
ACAGGCCAUGAUUUGCGAUUUCUAAAGACCCCUCCAGCCGGAGCAUAAAUCCUGCCGCAGCCCCCUUCCCUCCGGCGUGUUUGGAAACAUUAAAACAGAACCGUAAUCGGGCAACCCAAUCCUGAAAUUUUUCUCCUAUUGAGUCUGUGGCAACAGGUGCAGAAAUGGAUCAUUUGAGACACCGUAGAAAUCUGGUUAAUCCGCCAGCCGGGCAGAUCGGGCUCUU